UAGACCAAUGAUGAGAAUGUGUCAGGAAAUAAGGAUUAUUAUUGAUUUAAUUCUGUGCUCCUGAGGUCUAAG
rnacentral:snoRNA from 1 species